rnacentral:tRNA from 1 species
GUUUAAAUAUAAAAAGUUUUUGAAACUUUAAGUUUAUUUUUCAAAAA